rnacentral:rRNA from 1 species
GAUGAACGCUGGCGGCGUGCCUAAUACAUGCAAGUCGAGCGAACAGAUGGGGAGCUUGCUCCCCUGACGGUAGCGGCGGACGGGAGCGGAACACGUGGAUAAACUAACUAUACGACUGGGAUAACAUUGGGAAACCGGAGCUAAUACCGGAAAAUAUAUUGAACCGGAUGGUUCAAUAGUGAAAGACGGUUUUUGUGUCACUAAUAGCUGGACCCGGGCCGCAUUAGCUAGUUGGUAAGGUAAAGGGUUACCAAGGCAAGGAUGCGUAGCCGACCUGAAGGCGUGGUCGCCCACCCUGGCACAGAGGCACGUUCCAGACACCUGCAGGGGGCAGCAGUAGGGAAUCUUCCGCGAGGCGCGAGAGCCGAACGGAGCAACGCCGCGUAAGUGCUGAUGGUCUACUGCUCCUAGAGCUAUGUUAUUAGUAGAGAUCAAAUGUGCAAUUACCCAUGCUCAUCUUGACGGUACCUGGUCAGAAAGCCCCGGCUAACUCCGUG